ACGCUGGCGGGGUGCCUAAUACAUGCAAGUAGAACGCUGAAGCUUGGUGCUUGCACCGAGCGGAUGAGUUGCGAACGGGUGAGUAACGCGUAGGUAACCUGCCUCUUAGCGGGGGAUAACUAUUGGAAACGAUAGCUAAUACCGCAUAAAAGUCGAUAUCGCAUGAUGUUGACUUGAAAGGUGCAAUUGCAUCACUAAGAGAUGGACCUGCGUUGUAUUAGCUAGUUGGUGAGGUAACGGCUCACCAAGGCGACGAUACAUAGCCGACCUGAGAGGGUGAUCGGCCACACUGGGACUGAGACACGGCCCAGACUCCUACGGGAGGCAGCAGUAGGGAAUCUUCGGCAAUGGGGGCAACCCUGACCGAGCAACGCCGCGUGAGUGAAGAAGGUUUUCGGAUCGUAAAGCUCUGUUGUAAGAGAAGAACGAGUGUGAGAGUGGAAAGUUCACUCUGUGACGGUAACUUACCAGAAAGGGACGGCUAACUACGUGCCAGCAGCCGCGGUAAUACGUAGGUCCCGAGCGUUAUCCGGAUUUAUUGGGCGUAAAGCGAGCGCAGGCGGUUAGAUAAGUCUGAAGUUAAAGGCUGUGGCUUAACCAUAGUACGCUUUGGAAACUGUUUAACUUGAGUGCAGAAGGGGAGAGUGGAAUUCCAUGUGUAGCGGUGAAAUGCGUAGAUAUAUGGAGGAACACCGGUGGCGAAAGCGGCUCUCUGGUCUGUAACUGACGCUGAGGCUCGAAAGCGUGGGGAGCAAACAGGAUUAGAUACCCUGGUAGUCCACGCCGUAAACGAUGAGUGCUAGGUGUUGGGUCCUUUCCGGGACUCAGUGCCGCAGCUAACGCAUUAAGCACUCCGCCUGGGGAGUACGACCGCAAGGUUGAAACUCAAAGGAAUUGACGGGGGCCCGCA
rnacentral:rRNA from 1 species